AAUUCGCCCUUGAGCACGUAGGUGGGUUUGUAAGUCAGAUGUGAAAGCCUUCUGUUCAACGGAAGAAUUGCAUCUGAAACUGCGAGUCUUGAGUGUAGGAGGGGAGAAUGGAACUCCUGGUGGAGCGGUGAAAUGCGUAGAUAUCAGAAGGAACGCCGGCGGCGAAAGCGAUUCUCUGGCCUAUUACUGACACUCAGUGUGCGAAAGCUAGGGGAGCAAACGGGAUUAGAUACCCCGGUAGUCCUAGCCGUAAACGAUGGGCACUAAGUAGAGGGAAUUACCGAUGUUCUCUCUGCCGUAGCUAACGCAUUAAGUGCCCCGCCUGGGGAGUACGGCCGCAAGGCUAAAACUCAAAAGAAUUGACGGGGGCUCGCACAAGCGGUGGAGCAUGUGGCUUAAUUCGAUGCAACGCGAAGAACCUUACCGGGGCUUGACAUGGUAGAAGUAGGAACCCGAAAGGGUAACGAACGGUAUCCAGUCCGUAACUAUCACAGGUGUUGCAUGGCUGUCGUCAGCUCGUGUCGUGAGACGUUGGGUUAAGUCCCCUAACGAGCGAAACCCUUGUUUUUAGUUACCAGCGGGUUGUGCCGGGUACUCUGGAAAGACUGCCGUCGUCAAGACGGAGGAAGGUGGGGAUGACGUCAAGUCAUCAUGGCCCUUAUGCCCCGGGCUGCACACGUGCUACAAUGGUCGGUACAAACGGAGGCGAAGCCGAGAGGUGAAGCGAAUCCAAGGGCGAAUU
rnacentral:rRNA from 1 species